CAGUAUAUCAUCAGAGUAAAUAUGCAAUUUAAGGGUGUCACACAAUAUUUCACACAGUUCAACACAAUAACUGUCAUGCUCUUUUAUUAAUUCAAACAUAAACAUUUGCAUAAAACGCAGCGGAUAGAAAUCUCAUCAAUCAUGUAAAACAUUACAUGUAAAAUGGUUCAUAACCAACAAUAAAACAUUUAAAACAAGUUAAAACAUCCCAUCCCGAUGUUACAUCUAUCAGAGCACGACCCACUAAGGAGACUACACUAGACUCCAAGCAUUAGCUUCUACUCAACUCAUUGCUCGUUA
rnacentral:lncRNA from 1 species